UACGGGGGGGGCAAGCGUUGUUCGGAAUUACUGGGCGUAAAGGGCUCGUAGGCGGCCAACUAAGUCAGACGUGAAAUCCCCAGGCUUAACCUGGGAACUGCGUCCGAUACUGGAUGGCUUGAAUUCGGGAGAGGGAUGCAGAAUUCCAGGUGUAGCGGUGAAAUGCGUAGAUAUCUGGAGGAAUACCGGUGGCGAAGGCGGCAUCCUGGACCGAGAUUGACGCUGAUGAGCGAAAGCUAGGGGAGCAAACGGG
rnacentral:rRNA from 1 species